GCCAGCAUGGUGUAGUGGUUUGAGCAUUGGACUUCAACUCUGGAGAUCAGGGUUCAAAUCCCAGCUCAGCCA